rnacentral:rRNA from 1 species
GUGUCAGCACCGCGCGGUAGACGGAGGAUGCAAGUGUUAUCCGGAAUCACUGGGCGUAAAGCGUCUGUAGGUGGUUUAAUAAGUCGGAUGUUAAAUCUUGAAGCUUAACUUCAAAACCGCAUUCGAAACUGUUAAACUUGAGUAUAGUAGAGGUAAAGGGAAUUUCCAGUGGAGCGGUGAAAUGCGUAGAUAUUGGAAAGAACACCGAUGGCGAAGGCACUUUACUGGGCUAGUACUGACACUCAGAGACGAAAGCUAGGGUAGCAAAUGGGAUUAGAUACCCCAGUAGUCCUAGCUGUAAACGAUGGAUACUAAAUGUUGAACAGAUCGACCUGUACAGUAUCAAAGCUAACGCGUUAAGUAUCCCGCCUGGGAAGUAUGCUCGCAAGAGUGAAACCCAAAGGAAUUGACGGGGGCCCGCACAAGCGGUGGAGCAUGUGGUUUAAUUCGAUGCAACGCGAAGAACCUUACCAGGGUUUGACAUGAUACGAAUUUUCUUGAAAAAGAAAAGUGCCUUUUGGAACGUAUACACAGGUGGUGCAUGGCUGUCGUCAGCUCGUGUCGUGAGAUGUUGGGUUAAGUCCCGCAACGAGCGCAACCCUUGUUUUUAGUUGCCAUUUAUGGAACUCUAAAAAGACUGCCGGUUAUAAACCGGAGGAAGGCGGGGAUGACGUCAAGUCAGCAUGCCCCUUACACCCUGGGCUACACACGUGCUACAUUGGGCGAGACAAUGAGAUGCAAAUCUGUGAAGACUAGCUAAUCUAUAAACUCGUUCUAAGUUCGGAUUGCAGGCUGCAACUCGCCUGCAUGAAAGUGGAAUCGCUAGUAAUCGCUGGUCAGCUACACAGCGGUGAAUCCGUUCCCGGGCCUUGCACACACCGCCCGUCA